UUUCAUUAGUUGAUUUGCUCUUAUCCGGUUGCAUUUGGGUCAUUGUCAGUUGUGAAAUAUUGCAAGAGUAAAAAUCCUCUAGAAUACAUACAGGUUAUAAUGUCAUCAGGCUUGUAUACCUGUAUCACGUGUCGUGUGGGGUUCCGGGAUGGUGACCUACAAAGGGCUCAUUAUAAAACAGACUGGCAUCGCUACAACCUCAAACGUAAGGUGGCAGAUCUACCUCCAGUGACAACAGAGGUGUUCAAGGAAAAAGUUCUCUCUCAAAGGGCCAAGGUAGAGGAGGAACAGAAGGUGCAGUCCCUGGUGU